AGACUUUGAUCCUGGCUCAGAUUGAACGCUGGCGGCACGCUUAACACAUGCAAGUCGAACGGUAACAGGCCUUCGGGCGCUGACGAGUGGCGGACGGGUGAGUAAUGCAUGGGAAUCUGCCCUGUAGUGGGGGAUAACCCGGAGAAAUCCGGGCUAAUACCGCAUAGGUUCUACGGAACAAAGCGGGGUUUCGGCCUCGCGCUAUAGGAUGAGCCCAUGUCCGAUUAGCUGGUUGGUAGGGUAACGGCCUACCAAGGCGACGAUCGGUAGCUGGUCUGAGAGGACGAUCAGCCACACUGGGACUGAGACACGGCCCAGACUCCUACGGGAGGCAGCAGUGGGGAAUAUUGGACAAUGGGGGAAACCCUGAUCCAGCGAUGCCGCGUGGGUGAAGAAGGCCUGCGGGUUGUAAAGCCCUUUUAGUCGUGAGGAUUGAGGCAGUGCCGAAUACGCGCUGUCUUUGACGUUAGCGUACAGAAUAAGCACCGGCUA
rnacentral:rRNA from 1 species